rnacentral:misc_RNA from 1 species
UCUCCGUAGGUGAACCUGCGGAGGGAUCAUUACCGAGCUCAUGCCCUACCGGGUAGAUCUCCCACCCUGUGUUAUUAUUACCUUUGUUGCUUUGGCGGGCCGCCGCGCCCCGGCCUGGCUACCGGCCCCGGCUGGUAAGCGCCCGCCAGAGGACCCCAAGCCCUGAAUGUUAGUGUCGUCUGAGUACUAUAUAAUAGUUAAAACUUUCAACAACGGAUCUCUUGGUUCUG